rnacentral:rRNA from 1 species
GUCUACCGCAAUACCACCUUGAACGCGCCCGAUGUCUUCUGAUUUCGGAUGCUAAGCAGGGUCGGGCCUGCUUAGUACUUGCUAGUGCUUAGAUU